GUUCUUGAUCUGAGCAAUCAACACAUGCUCAAGACUCUCACCAAGAAAGAAAAAAGAUACAGAUUGGGAUUCGAACCAGCAACCUGCUGACCUUGGAAGAUUGGCAGCUACCAGCGAGCCACAGGACCUCAUGAGACAUACCAACAACUAUGCCAUAGGAGAACAUGAGGAAGUGGACACUGGGGGCGAAGGCACUGAGCAUGAGGCCUCCGGAGAUCAUAACACCACUGAAGAUG